rnacentral:rRNA from 1 species
UCCCAUUCCGCAAGGAAGUAAGAUCCCUGAAAGAUGAUCAGGUUGAUAGGUCUGAGGUGGAAGUGUGGCGACACAUGGAGCUGACAGAUACUAAUCGAUCGAGGACUUAACCUAA